GGCGGCAUGGCCGAGUGGUAAGGCGGGGGACUGCAAAUCCUUUUUCCCCAGUUCAAAUCCCCCGGUUCAAAUCUGGGUGUCGCCU
rnacentral:tRNA from 1 species